AUGAAGUGGAACAGGAAGGAGUGUUUGUCGAAUCUGUGUUAUGUGACAGGCACUGUACUAACUGACAUUUCAUUUCUAUGUAUAGGGGCCCUUGCAGGGGUGUUCCUUUGGAAGGGGUAUGAGGGAAAGGAAGGGAAGAGGCUCAAAUGCUUGCACCUGCUAUAUUGCCACAGUGAUCAGUCUGGUCAUCCAGUGCACCAGUCAAAAGAUUCCCCAGAAUAGAAGUGGCAGAAUCGGGCAGAAUGGCUAAGAUGGAAACUUCAGGAAGAAGACUUCAGGUUGUCAGAAUCCCCCUAAGCUGAAGAAGCCACAUCAGCAUUCCUGGCCUCCACGAGGGGACUCCUAGAUAAUCACACGAACACUUCCCAGAGGGCUCGACGGUAAUGAGGCCCACCCUUCCCAACAGGAUUGUUUUCUGUGCCGCUUUCUCUGUCUCCCCCGGCUGUCCAGCUGCGUCGUGACUACAGCGAAAACCUGGUGUGUUUCAGACAUGGUGGGCAGCGUGGGUGGGCCACAAUGGUGUCCCCCACCUUCAGCUCCUGAGCAUUGUGGGCAGAGACUUUGUCUGCUUUGCAACCUGUUUCCACCCCUCAUACUGCAGAUACCUGUGUGUCCACGAGGACACGUCACCAGCAUGGAGUAAAUCCUGCUAAAUGACACAAUGACCUGUUGAGCAAGUGGAUAAUGAAAGUGACCGGCCUUGAACGUGGACUGUGCAGAUCAGUGUACUAAUUAUGCAAGAAAUCACUGAGAACACUGUGGGAGAAGAACAGAAAGAAACGUUUUCUAGAAAACCCAGUAAUGACCAGAAGAGAUCUGCCACUUUUUUCACAUCCAUUAGAUAACCACGCAGAGCUGAGGUGGGUCCUUGAAGGAAUAUUCUCUGCUUCACCUCCUCUCAUCCUUUGAUUUGAAAUCAUUCCCAUCAUUGAGGUCAAAGGUGUUUGGGGCACCUGAACUGUAUAAUUAAUUUUCUCCUCCAUUUUCUCUUUAUUUAUUAGUUAUAAAUGUAGUCUUUUGCUUACCUAAGAAUGAGGCAUAGGACUAUUUCAAGUCACUUAUUUAUUUACUAUUUUUUUUUAAAGAUUUUAUUUGACAGAGAGAGAUACAGCGAGAGAGGGAACACAAGCAGGGGGAGUGGGAGAGGAAGAAGCAGGCUCCCAGCACAGGAGUCUGAUGCGGGCUCGAUCCCAGAACGCUGGGAUCACGCCCUGAGCCGAAGGCAGACGCUUAAUGACUGAGCCACCCAGGUGCCCCAAUUUAUUUACUAUUUUUUUUUUUUAAAGAUUUUAUUUAUUUAUUUCACAGAUAUAGGGACAGCCAGCGAGAGAGGGAA
rnacentral:lncRNA from 1 species